AUCUCAAAUCAGGUAGGACUACCCGCUGACUUAGGCAUAUCAUUAAGCGGAGGA
rnacentral:rRNA from 1 species